CCUACGGGAGGCAGCAGUGGGGAAUUUUGGACAAUGGGCGAAAGCCUGAUCCAGCAAUGCCGCGUGCAGGAAGAAGGCCUUCGGGUUGUAAACUGCUUUUGUACGGAACGAAACGGUCUGCUUUAAUACAGUGGGCUAAUGACGGUACCGUAAGAAUAAGCACCGGCUAACUACGUGCCAGCAGCCGCGGUAAUACGUAGGGUGCGAGCGUUAAUCGGAAUUACUGGGCGUAAAGCGUGCGCAGGCGGUUAUAUAAGACAGUUGUGAAAUCCCCGGGCUCAACCUGGGAAUUGCAUCUGUGACUGUAUAGCUAGAGUACGGUAGAGGGGGAUGGAAUUCCGCGUGUAGCAGUGAAAUGCGUAGAUAUGCGGAGGAACACCGAUGGCGAAGGCAAUCCCCUGGACCUGUACUGACGCUCAUGCACGAAAGCGUGGGGAGCAAACAGGAUUAGAUACCCUGGUAGUCCACGCCCUAAACGAUGUCAACUGGUUGUUGGGUGCAUUAGUACUCAGUAACGAAGCUAACGCGUGAAGUUGACCGCCUGGGGAGUACGGCCGCAAGGUUGAAACGUCAAAGGAAUUGACGG
rnacentral:rRNA from 1 species